GUUUUUUCACUUACUUUAGCUAUCUAUGAAUGGCCAUUUCCCUCUUUCCAAUAUCACAUGCCAUGAUCGUAGCAAUUAGGCAUGGUACAAUUAAAUUACUUUCGACACACGAUAAAGUAAGGAUAGAAACGUGACGGGCUUCCGAUGGACUUCAUAUCGUGCGAUUUCGUAAAGGAUGUCGGUAUAAUCCUAAAAAACGACCUUCGACCUGUACGCUACACUAUCCGCUGUAGCGACCGCUAUUGACAACUAUGUCGCACAUAUCUCUCAUCUUCCGGAACACAAAGAACAUUUGCUUCCUGAGUCGACAAGGGGUGGUGUUACGCGUUGCUAUGUGACGUUAUGAAGCCUUUCGAACGAAGGAGUUCCCAGCCCAAUCACAUCGCCUCAAAAUCAACACACUACCAGCUAUGUAGUAUAUGCAGUUUGCAUUCCAAAUAUAAGCGUACAUAAAGUACCAGUUAUACCUAUUUCCAAUAGUACAUGUAUUGUUCUUUGGGACAGUCAGGUCUUUUCUAAAGUAAAGUAAAUAAAUAAGCCAGCCUACCUACCAGGUAUGCUGUAUGCAUGGAUGUGAAAAUGAUGACCACAUGGAUGCAUGAUAACACAAUACAUUAUACAUAUUUACAUCGCAUAGCAUAUCGAUAAUAAGUGAACUGUGAACAGGUACGUUUGUUGAUGCAUAAAGCUCACACAUAUCCUCAAAGUACACUUUUGAAAUGCCUUCCAACUAUAUCAAAUGGAAUAUUGGACCACACACACACAGUUACCUUAUUCACUAAAGGUCUUGUUGUUACAAAAAGGGUAAUGAAUAAUCAUAUACCACUGAUAU
rnacentral:lncRNA from 1 species